rnacentral:lncRNA from 1 species
CCGGAGCAAGGAGAGGGCGUCUGUUCCACAAAGGUUUGCAAAAUAAAAUUAAGAAGAAGAAGAAGAAGAAGAGGAAUGUAAUAACCGAGCGGUGGCGGAGAGGGGAAUCUGCAAUAACGUUGCAAAGCAUUGCACGCGCUGCGGGCCGCGCUGGGAGCGGCGGUUGCGCUCCGUCAUCGCCGGGGCUGCAGGGCGGGCACGCGCCGCUCCCCUCGCGCUCAGCCCCGCGCCGUAGCAAAGUCGCGGCGGAACGGCGUGCGCUGCUCCCUUCGGACGAGCAGUCUUUAUUUUGUAAUCCCACAUCCCGUGGGUUGUGAUAAUCCGAGAGCCCAAUCUCCUCCUCCUGUUUUGCACUUGGAGCGAUGUGCCCUGGGACACAUGGAACGAUGUGCAAAUCGCUCAUGGAAAAAGAGGGGAUGGAUGAAGUCAGGCUGUGAAGGACCGCAUCCAGCAGCAGGAUGGAGGCUGCGCUCCGAUGGCUGCUCCGUGCGAUGGGAACGGGCGUCUGGAACGGCGGCAGGAGCCGCGUGAGGUACGGCUGGAGCUUCCAAGCCGAUGAGGGGCGGGGAGAGGGGCUUUGUUUUGAUUCCUGUGACAGUGCCUUGGAAAUACUCAGUGUGAAUGAAGGAUGAGUAACGUUGGGGCUUUUUUGCCUCUUGAAAGGAGCAAUUGACUGUAUGGGGCUCGUUAAUUAGCAGCGCGCACGUGUAAGGGAGGCUCUUUGUGUGUGGAGCAGAAGGAAGCAGAUGCUGGACGUGUCUGUUUAAUCGCAGCCUGGGGCAGAUGCCCGGGGAAUGGGCUGCGCUUUGUCUGUUCGGUGUAGCCUUGGCAUAGAAACAGAAUAAUUCGGCUUUGGGUGGCAUUUAAAUUCAUGGACCACCCCGCCAUCCGCCGUCCUGACUCAGGUCUGCCCCACGUCCAGAGCUGAAAACGAGAAGUGGUUGAGCGGCUGGAGGUUUAACGGGCUCGCUGCAGGGCCUCCGUUCACGGCGGUCACCGAGGGCUGCUCCUUAGCAAGGAAGGAUGAAAAUGCUCUUCUGUCCCUUAAUUCGAGAGCGCUAGAUGAGCCUGAAGCGGAUUGCUCAGUAAUGCUGACGGUAGUGAAGCUGAGAACAUGUGGGGUGUGCUGGGCCAGCCGGGGCACGAGGCAGCACAGAGCCCGGGCUGUGCCCGCAGCCAGGGGAGCUCUGCCCACCGCUGACAUCGUUGUUCUGUAAGUCGUGCUGAGUGUUGAUUGCUUCCCAGGUGUGGGGCGCGAUGCGGGCAGCCCUCGUGUCCCGGGGUGAGCGCAGCCUCGGGGGAAGGGCUGCUGCCGGGGCAGUGCUCGGGGUGUGUGAGCCCAGGGGUGGUAAACCAAAAGCCUUUCUGUGUUUCCAUCUUCAGAUAGGUCAGAAUUCUCCUGCAGUCAACGAAGACCUCUUUUAAUUUCCUUGCUCAUAACCAUGACUCAGAUCUGAAGCCCAGAGGAGCGGUCUUAUUUCUGCUCCUAAAUCCUAUGGUGCAAUAGCUGAAGACGAUGGAAGGUCUACUGUGCCUAAUCCUCACUCAAGGCUAAUGGGCAUGGGCUAAUGAAGUCACCAUUUGCCUUGGAAAAUCUCAGCCAAAGAACUUAAACACGUGGGGAAAAAAAAAUGGUUUCUGCAGUCUUUUACCCCCUAUUUAAAAAGCAAACAACACUUGGGGUUAUGUUCAGUUUAAUUUGGCACUGAUGUAUUUUAAAGCAAUUUCAUGUAAGUGAUUUUCAGCUUUAAAUUUGCCUGAGUAUGGGAACUGUUGAAUCACAGCCUGAACCUCUGAUUGACCACCUGAGGUGAGUGCUGAGUCAGCUGCAGGGGCACAGGUGAAGGCAAUUUCACCUGAGUGACCGGAAGGGGUGGAUCCUGGCUGCACCCCUCCUAGGCCCCAUUUAAGGGCUGACUCCCAAGCAGGAUGGGUCUCUAUCUGGAGAUUGCUCCUCUUGGAGCCCUUCUGUGAGCCCAGGACACAGGUAAGAUCUUUAUUUCAUUAUUCCUUUGUAAUGUGAUAAUCUCUCUGGUCGUAUACCUGUUUGCCAUACAGCCUGUUUAGGAGAAAGUCAUCUAAUUACAGCUGUGUUCUGAAACCCUCCUAGGACCAAUUGAUGUUCCAUCUUUCCAUGGCUGGCAGAGACCUGCACAGUGUUGUCCAUGUGUUGUGACCAUGAAUUAAUAUAUGAGCAGCUUGCAUUUCUGUUCUUGCUGCUUGCUGAUGUUGUGUGAGGAUCAUAACAGAAUCAUUUCCUGAGAGAUGGGCUUGGGUGCAAAGAAGAGUGACCAAAGACUGAAGCCAGAAGCAGGUAGAGAGGGUUUGUGACUUGUGGGAAGCUGGCUUUGAUUAAAGUGCCAUUGAUUCCCUGUGUGUUAGCAGCACGUGCUGCCUCUGGUGCCAAGAGAUCUUUGUUGCCAGUUUUGCUAUGCGUGCUUACUGUGUUGGGGUCACUGAAUUGUGCUUAAUUAGCUGGAAUUAGCUUUUAACUUACGUUAAAGCUCUUGAUUGUAAGUGAUGGCAUAUAGAAGGUUGGCUUGAGUGGUUUGCCCCUGAUUUACACUGGUGUUAGUGGGUGUAAGCUGAGCUCUGCACUCUUAAGCGAUGACAGAAAACGUUGCUUGCAAGCUCUUGUGUCUGAAUGACUUCAAGUGAAUGUGAGGUGAUAAGAGUGGCACUUGGGUCCUACCAGCAGGGGUCAUUAAAAACAUCUUUAAGUCAUGUCAGUAUGCAGCCAAAUAAUAUUACAGAAAGUGCUCAUGUAUGUAAUAAGCAGGGACCUGUUUGUUAUGAGAGGAGGAGCCUCCGAUUUGAUCUGACUAAAUGAGGAGGACAGCCUUUGCCUGUUGGAGCAAAGGGAGUUUUUCCUGUCCUGCUGAGGUGGGUUGGCUGUCCCAGCUGCUCCCAGUGGGUCAGAAGCAGGAGCUCACAGCGAUGUGCCAUCCAGCUCUGAUAUGCACCACCAAACAUGUGAGAGCAGAUGCUGCAAAUAAUGCUUCCCUUCUUUCUUUUGUUCCCCCCUCCUCCCGUGUGCUUUUGUUUUUUGUCUCGAGUGAAGUCAAAGUGUUUGUUCUUUGGCUGAGCUUAUGUUGUCACAGGUUGAUCUUUACACGAUGCGCGCGUACCCAAUGGGACUGCCACGUGCCCGAGGGAGAGCAAGUUUAUAACAGGAUGAUGGUGAAGUGCUGCUGAAAUCCUGCAGGACUGAGGAAAGAUUAGAAGGAGGAAAUGCAGAAUAACACAGUGGCUUACAGAUGACAAAGCAGUCCUAGCCCAUUAGCAUACGGGGAUCCAACAGAAGUGUUCAUAAUUGCUAAUAACAAAAGGCUGGUCUAUCAUAACGACUCCAUUCAAACCAAAGCACACAUCAGGCUUGUAUGGUAGCGAGUGUGUUUUGAUGAUAGGUCUGGUUUAAACCUAAUCUACUGAAAUACAGGCAGGAUCAGAACAAUGCUUCCUCUGGGGAUCAACAACUUUGUCCCUCAACAGACUGCCUUAUACAAACACCCGUAAUUGAGUUAAAAUUCAUGCAGACAGCUUGGAUUUAAAAAGAAACAAAUAUCACACAAAUAAACAAAAGUCAUGAGCAACGGGGGAUGGGAGAGCCUUUGUGGGGGAAUGCCCUUUGAAGCAUGUGCCAAUGUAUACUAAAUAAUGGGAAUUAAUAUUAAAUGCUACAGGUCACAACAGUGAGUAUUUGUUCCACCUUGCUGAAAAAGCAGCUGGAAUCGCUCUGUUGUGCAGCAGGCAUCUCUUCUGUGUGGUGCUUUUGUUUCUCAAAACAUUCUGUUAGAUCUUUACUGCCACUCCAGCUUUUGCUCCCCCGGUUUCUGUUUGCAAGGUCUGGGUUUUUUGCUCCACUAAUUUAGUCAGCACAGAAUGAAGGUGAUCUGUUUGGAGGGCUUUGCUGUAGUGAUGUUGUGUAUAUGUUAGUUGGGUAACAAUAGAAACAGAGCCAUUGCAUUAUUUCUUUUUUCAAAUGUCCCUUAUCUCAGCAUGAGGCUGAGGCGGUCCUGGGCUCUGCUUUGCCCAAUGGCAUAAAUGGGGCAGAAUCCCUCCCCACUACCGAGGCUGUGCUUGGCCUUGCAGAAGAAAGUUCUCCUGCUCCGUGCUCUUCUGGGCUGCUUUUUCCUUUGUACUUUCAUUAGAAUAGCUGAUGGAUGGGCUGUUCCUGUGAGCGUGGCUCUAUUGCAUGUGCUGAUGGCUGCUCCGUGGGGCUGAUGUCCUGCACAUGGGCAGGGAUGUCUGCACACAUCACGUUCCUCAGCAUGACAUGGGCCCUCCUGUGCCAACAGAUGAUCUUUUCCUAUUGUCUGUAGCAGGCGAGCUCUGUGUGUUUGCAGAUCAGUGGGCUUAUAUGAGAAGUGCACUUAGUGAGUACUUGGCUUCAGUAACAGACAUGGUGAAGGGGAGGAAACCAACCUACUAAGCCUGGAGUUUUGACCAGUUACACUUGUAAGGAGGAAAGCUUAGUGAUGUUUUAAGGAGCUUCCUGUUUCCAAAGCUCUCACGGUGGGGUUUUGUGGCUUCUCCCACCUGGGACCAGUGCAGUGACUGCAGCCCUGAGUCAGCCAUGCUGUGCCACCUCCUUUCCUCCCUUACCUCCAGCUUCUGUUGGCAACCUCAGACAGUGGCAAGAUCAGACCCUUCUCUGAAUCAAACCCAGAUUUAAAUUGUGUGUGGGAGCCCUAUGAAAUAAGGCUGAAGAGAAAGCCCUGCUAACCUUGAAUUCGGGGAGUGUUCUCCAGAGACUUGGUAUUUAGCUCAGGUUUUGGUUUCAGCUGCUUACUUGUGUUGGAAAAGUUAUUUUUGGUUGCUUUCUGUGCUUCAUUAUAAUUCUGAAAGUGACUAAUUUGAUGUGACAUUUUCUAAUGUAGUAUGAUCAGACAUAAUUUGAUCUUAUUAACUUAGAUCGUACCAUAUUAGCAAACAUCGGCUUCUAUUUGAGAAAUUUACACAUGCUGCAGUGUGGAUACACCUUAAAAUCUUACUGCAUUAGUAUAAUUUGUCAGCUUAAUGUUGUAUUCGGUAAAGAAUGUCAGAGCAUACUGUAAUUUACAGCUACCUACGUAGGACUGACUGCAGAGCCUCAGGUUGGCUGUGCUGUUGUCAUAUUGCUUUCUCUUAGGCAGGAACCAACUCAGUGCUCCACGAUCACUGCAAUUCCAAUGCUUGAUGCUGUCUCGUUUGGAAAUGCUUUCACUGCUGUGUGUCUGAAAUGUAAGUUAGCUAAGUGGAAUACAAAGCUUAUCUUCCUCAGAGUGUGAUGAUGACCAACGUGGCCUGAGGUCCACGUGAACUGGGAAGCAGCAGGAAUCAAGCAUUUGAACUGCAUUCAAGUGUUCCCUUUCCCAAUUUUCGCCACCUGUUGGAUUUAGGUGACUGCUGUCCCUUUGAUGUGAAAAUGAAAUAAUAAGAAAUCAAGCCCUCAAGACACUGAUUAGAAAACCCACAGUAAAUAAUGGAAGUAUUCACUAAAUGGAAGAACUGAGCACUGUGCCCAUGGAAGAGGUGUUGAGCACUUUGCACUGAUGGCCAUUCUGAAAUGAGGCACUCAGUUCUAAACAGACAACAAUUCUGUUUCCAAACUGAUAGUGCUGUGCCUUUCCCAACAGGCUGUUCUGCACUAUGUUCUUCAUGCUCAAUUUAGGAAAUAACAGUGAGAAGCAGUUCCAGCCUCCAAAUUCCUUUUGAUUGCACUGGAUUGUUCCAAACAGCCUCAGUGAGGGGAAGAGCUCCAUUCCCUGCAGUGGGAGCUGAAGCAGAGGGUGAGAGGAGCUGCUGAUGUGCAGAGACUGAACUACACCACUGCCAGUGUUGGUGCAGGAUAGCAAACAAAGCGGAUGGAAUCUGCCAUCCCUGCCAUCUGCCCUUCUAGGUGUUACAGGACUGACUCUGUACACCUUCUCCUUUCUACUCCUACUCAGAAGUCACUCCUGGUAAGGGAAGUGGGGUGGGAGCUGGUUCAGUUUGAUGCAAUUAAAUGAUUCCUCCUCUGUGGAAAAGUCAAGGGGACUUUGUGGACUCGCUGCUUUUGAAGCUGCUUGUUCUCUGUAGUCAAAUCCUGUGCCACUCCUCCCGGGCAAGGAGCUGGAAGGCUCUGUUCCUUUGUACCACUCUGAUCUUCAAACAGCUCUUCAUUGCUCUUAAUACUUUGAACGUGGACUGCUGCAACUUGCCAUUCGCUGGGCUGAGUAAAUCGGGUGCUUUGUUUGAAUCUCCUUACGGUAAAGGUACUGCUUUGCCCCAACACUCGGUGCUUGUGUUAGGAGGAAAGGCAAUGGCUUGUGAAUGGUCCAAAGUUUCUGCAAUAAACUGUGAUCAAAAUCUUCGUUUAUUUUUUUCUUUAAAGUUGACCUAAAUCUUUCAGUCUGGCUGCAGGGCAAAAAUCUGGUAGAAUUAGAAAUAGGUUCUCAGUUGGACUAAAGUCACACUCUUUCAUGUUUGCUCUUAGAGGCGCAGCUCGUUAACGCAGUGAUCGCU